rfam:Triticum aestivum genome assembly, contig: Triticum_aestivum_CS42_TGACv1_scaffold_486140_6AS
UGGCGAUGAUGAUAAAACUUUGGCAUGUUUCUCAAAACAUUCGCAGUUGCCGCCUAAGAGCUUUCGCCCUGCCAGGCUUGAGAGCUAAUGCUGCUAAUUCCUUCCUUGGAUGUCUGAGCCA